rnacentral:rRNA from 1 species
UAGGGAGUUUUCGGCAAUGGGCGCAAGCCUGACCGAGCAACGCCGCGUGAGUGAUGAAUGUCUUCGGAUUGUAAAGCUCUGUUGUAAGGGACGAAACACCGCGGUAGGAAAUGACCGCGGCUUGACGGUACCUUACCAGAAAGCACCGGCUAACUUCGUG